rnacentral:rRNA from 1 species
UACGUAGGGCGCAAGCGUUGUCCGGAAUUAUUGGGCGUAAAGAGCGUGUAGGCGGCCCGACCAGUCCGCUGUGAAAGUCCAGGGCUCAACCCUGGAAUGCCGGUGGAUACUGUCGGGCUAGAGUCCGGAAUGGGCGAGUGGAAUUCCUGGUGUAGCGGUGAAAUGCGCAGAUAUCAGGAGGAACACCAAUGGCGAAGGCAGCUCGCUGGGACGUGACUGACGCUGAGACGCGAAAGCGUGGGGAGCAAACAGG